CGCACAUUGCGCCCUUUGGUAUUCCGAAGGGCAUGCCUGUUCGAGCGUCAUUAUCCACCCUCAAGCCCGGCUUGUUAUUGGGUCCCUUAUCGUCAACAGAUAGGCCCCAAAGAUAAUGGCGGUGUCGUUGAACGACCCCAGAUGCAGCGAGCUUUUUGUUAAAAAAUCCUUAAGCAUACAUCUGUCGGUGGUCUUCUCCGGCCCGGCCUUGCAAGGUCUCCGCAAGGGGAUAUCUAUUGUACUAGGUUGACCUCGGAUCAGGUAGGAAUACCCGCUGAACUUAA
rnacentral:misc_RNA from 1 species